rnacentral:rRNA from 1 species
CAGUCGCCACGGUAAUACGAAGGGUGCGAGCGUUAAUCGGAAUUACUGGGCGUAAAGCGUGCGUAGGUGGUGGUUUAAGUCCGUUGUGAAAGCCCUGGGCUCAACCUGGGAAUUGCAGUGGAUACUGGAUCACUAGAGUGUGGUAGAGGAUAGUGGAAUUUCCGGUGUAGCAGUGAAAUGCGUAGAGAUCGGAAGGAACAUCUGAGGCGAAGGCGACUAUCUGGGCCAACACUGACACUGAGGCACGAAAGCGUGGGGAGCAAACAGGAUUAGAUACCCCUGUAGUCCCUGUCUCUUAUAC